rnacentral:lncRNA from 1 species
UUCUAAUCUUUAUAAACUUAAUGUUUCACUGAUAAUGGUGAAUUUUGUAGGUUGAUUAUUUUUUAAGCUGACUUGACAUUUUCCUUUUUCUUUGCUUUUUAUUUUUUAAAGAAUUGCAAGUGUUACCAUGUGAUGGGAACAGGCCACUGUAAGACAAAAAGUCUACAAAUUGAAUGCCAGUGACCUUGCUCUAGUACAUCAAUCAGUGGAUUCUGUAGCUCCCAUUUAGAAUGUGCCAUGGUGUAUAAGGAAAGACAACUGUGCUGGUCUUCCUCAGCAUUGCCCUCAGCUGGACACCUGAGAACAGUUCACAGUAGGCUUCUCAGCAGUGUGCAGACUGAAGUUCCUGCAGAAGCCAUAGCUAGUCACCAAAAGGUGUGCGCAGACCAGGUACACACCAUCAUGGAAAUUCCUUGCUACAAACCAAGUACAUAAAUUCACGUGUCCUUUAUUUGAAAUAACAUCUACAGGUGCAGCUUUGAGUUUUCUGAGCAGAAUUCCAAAUAAUUUGCUGUUGUACCCACCAGAAUCUAAACCAUGAAUUAAAACACAUGUUUCUGCAAUGUGCGUUUCUUUUUUUUUCCCCCUCCUCCAUAUUAAGUGCUUCUUAUGAAACUGUGAUUAUAACUUCGGAUCAGGGAGGAAAUAAACUUCUGCAUAGUCUGAGGGGGACUCUUUUCUGCAGUCACAAUGGCAGUCGUGGGCCGUGUGCGCCGAGGACUCUGCAUGCAGCAGUAUAGUAGGUGGUAAGUGCCGUGUUU